AACUUCAAGUUUAGACAGCAACGAAUUUGGUGCUAAAGAUAUCAGAUAUUUAGAAAAGAGAUCAGUAAAGGGAAAGAAAUGUAAAAGAAACGAGAUUUAUAAUACAGAGACGGAACAAUGUGAACCAGCAGAUCCAGAUAUUGGAACACAUGGCUGCUGUAAUGGUGGAUUUGGUAAAAAGUAAACCGUACCUUUAUCUCAUCGUAUUACCGGAUGAUGUCAGUUUAAAAAAUAGUUGAAGGAAUUACUGAAGAUCGAGAUCACCGGAAAAUGUCGAUGUUUCAUACAAAAACGAUCAAAAUAUUGUCUGCGAAGAAUCCAGUUCUGACUGUGACGUAUUUAAAUAUUUGCGUUACAAAUCUUUAUCUGUUAUGUGUUAAAAGUCAUUUUGUUCUAACUUCCUAGAGUAUUAAUUGAUGUGCAAGUGUGAUCUUUUUCCCUAUAAACUUGUAUUUGUAAAGUAAAAUUAAGCAUAG